GGAUCGGGUCUGCUGGUUCCCGAGUUGAAUCGGAGGAGUCCAGUUCAACUCACUGACUUUUGAAUCACUGGUUUAGAGUAUAGUUAGCAAGUCGUCGAUUCAAACGUGAUUUCUUCAUUUCAAAAAAUCACCUUUUUAAAAAAAAACAUUUUAAUCGGCGUAUUUAUCAAUACAUCAGCCAAAAAAACAAGUUUUUUUCAAGGAAACAUUUAAAACGCGUUUUUUUCAGCUUUAUAAAAAAAGGGUUAAAAAACAACGUUGCUAUAAAUAAUCUGUAUUUUUUUUUUUGAAAGUUAAAUAAUUUAUUAUUUUUUAUGAAAUUUCUAUUUUGUACCUUUUGACAAACAAUUUUUUUUGGGAAGAGAAUCACCGCUUACAAAAAGGAAAAAAAAACCAAAUUUAACAUUAGAGAGAGAAACUACCUGUGUUAGAUCCAUAAAUUUAACCUUGCAGAGAGAAAUUAACUGCAUUAGAUUAGGAGAAAAAAAAAUAAGAUCGUUAAGAAAAAAAAAAACCUCAAAUUUAAUAUUACAGAGACAAACUACAUGUUAGGAUUUUACAGAGAAUUAAAAAACCCCUUUAGAGUGGGGAAAAAUAGGUUAGGACCUUACAGAGAAACUAGCUGCAUAUAAAAUCCCAAAAUUUAACAAACAGUAGAUUGGGGGAAAACAGAUUACAAAAAAGCAUCCGAUAGAGAGAGAAAGAGAGAGAACCUAUCAUUUUUUUAAAUAAGAGAUUUAACUCUAACUUCAAUAAAAAAAUCCCCAAAUUUAACUUAUAAUAGACAUGCAUAAAAUUGUUGGAAGCUAAACUUCAAUCAAAAUCCCAAAAUUUAACAACACCUCAAAAUCCCCAAAUUUAGAGAGAGAAAGAGAGAGAGAACCUGAUCACCCAUUCAUAGCCAUGCCUUCAAUCAAAAUCCCAAAAUUCAACAUCUCAAAAUCCCCAAAUUUAGAGAGAGAACCAUGGUCACUCAUUCAUAGCCAUGGCUUCUUUCUUAGGAAGCUCUUCACCAUAAUGAAUUGCUUUCUCAAACCUUACAUAGCUUGGAUUCAGGUCCUCACUAUUUUUUAAUUUAGAUUUGUAAUAUG
rnacentral:lncRNA from 1 species